rnacentral:lncRNA from 1 species
AAAAGGUCAAAGGACCUUAGACAAAAAAAUUCACUAUUUUUGAAAAGUCAGAAGUAUUUUUAAACAAUUAAAAAUAUGAAUAAAAUCAUUUAAUUCAUGAAAAAUAUCAAAAUUAAUCCAAAAAAUAAUUUUAAUUUAGAAUAUGAAAGAGAAAAAUAUUUUAAGAUUUUUGGUGAAAGUCCCAUAUUUUUUGAUUAAAAAUGAAAUUAUUAUGAAUUAAACAAAAUAAAAGGAUUAAAUGGAAAUUCAGAAAAUAAAAA